rnacentral:rRNA from 1 species
AGUUGGUGGCGUGAGUUGUCUGGUUAAUUCCGUUAACGAACGAGACCUCGACCUGCUAAAUAGUCUAGCGAAUUCUCUGGAUUCGACUAAACUUCUUAGAGGGACUAUCGGUUGGUGUACCCGGUGGAAGUUCGAGGCAAUAACAGGU